CAGGCAUACACCACGUGUGUUAGGCUAAUUUUUGUAUUUUUUUUGUAGAGAUGGGGUUCCACCAUGUAGCCCCGGCUGGUCUUGAGCUCAUGAGCUCAAGCGAUUCACCUGCCUCAGCCUCCCAAAGUGCUGGGAUUACAAGUGUGAGCCACCAUUCCUGCCUCUAUACCUCUAAAGGUGUUGAAUAAUUUGAAUGGGAAUUUGAAGGUCCAUGGCUUCCAAACCAGCAGGAGUUAAGGCUUAAUUGCUUGGAAAUACAUUUUCAUGGCUGAUACCAGUAACAGAAAAAUGUCUGUAUGUCAAGAGGCUCUGUACUAAUCAGUUAACCAUAACAUGUGCCACCCCAUACCUUGGGCCAAUGUAACUGUUAACAGCUUGAAGCUAUUAA
rnacentral:lncRNA from 10 species